AUUGAACGCUAGCGGGAUGCUUUACACAUGCAAGUCGAACGGCAGCGCGGACUUCGUUCUGGCGGCGAGUGGCGAACGGGUGAGUAAUGUAUCGGAACGUGCCCAGUAGCGGGGGAUAACUACGCGAAAGCGUAGCUAAUACCGCAUACGCCCUACGGGGGAAAGCAGGGGAUCGUAAGACCUUGCACUAUUGGAGCGGCCGAUAUCGGAUUAGCUAGUUGGUGAGGUAACGGCUCACCAAGGCGACGAUCCGUAGCUGGUUUGAGAGGACGACCAGCCACACUGGGACUGAGACACGGCCCAGACUCCUACGGGAGGCAGCAGUGGGGAAUUUUGGACAAUGGGGGCAACCCUGAUCCAGCCAUCCCGCGUGUGCGAUGAAGGCCUUCGGGUUGUAAAGCACUUUUGGCAGGAAAGAAACGUCGCGGGCUAAUACCCCGUGGAACUGACGGUACCUGCAGAAUAAGCACCGGCUAACUACGUG
rnacentral:rRNA from 1 species